rnacentral:rRNA from 1 species
CUUUCCUACGGGGGGCAGCAGUGAGGAAUAUUGGUCAAUGGGCUUACGCCUGAACCAGCCAAGUCGCGUGAGGGAAGACUGCCCUAUGGAUUGUAAACCUCUUUUGCCGGGGAGCAAAAAGCGGUACGUGUACCGCAUCGAGAGUACCCGGAGAAAAAGCAUCGGCUAACUCCGUGCCAGCAGCCGCGGUAAUACGGAGGAUGCGAGCGUUAUCCGGAUUUAUUGGGUUUAAAGGGUGCGCAGGCGGCGAGUUAAGUCAGCGGUAAAAUUUCGG